ensembl:snRNA U6 U6 spliceosomal RNA
GUACUUGCUUUAGCAGCACAUAUACUCAAACUGGAAUGAUACAGAGAGGGUUAACAUGGUCCCUGCACAAGAAUGACAUACAAAUUCAUAAGGCAUUCCAUACUUUU